rnacentral:rRNA from 1 species
AUGACUAGGGAUAACCUUAGGAAGAGACACAUCAUCAAACCCCUUGAUUGUGUUUACUGCUUGGAACAAGAGUCUUGUUCUCACCUAUUUUUUGAAUGUAUAGUUGCUAAACAUCUCUGGGCCCACAUUGAGGAAUAUUUCUCUAGUCAGAUUGGUUCAUCCUUCGAAUCUGUCGCCAGAUUCUGGAUUGCUACCAAAAAGUGCUCAGUUUUAAACACUGUUAGCUCAGCUGUCCUUUGGUGCCUCUGGAAAUAUAGAAAUGCUAUGAUUUUUAGUAACACCUCCUGGAUUUCCAUUCUGCAGGUCUUGAGGUUGAUCAGGAACAUGGUGAGGAACUGGGCGAUUCUCUCCUCCGGAUCGGACAAGGACAAGUUGAUGAGCUUCGUGGAAACCCUAACAAGAUCCCUCCAGAAACCGUUGCCGAUCACUUGUGGCUGA